rnacentral:rRNA from 1 species
UACGUAGGUGGCAAGCGUUGUCCGGAAUUAUUGGGCGUAAAGCGCGCGCAGGCGGUCCUUUAAGUCUGAUGUGAAAGCCCACGGCUCAACCGUGGAGGGUCAUUGGAAACUGGGGGACUUGAGUGCAGGAGAGAAGAGUGGAAUUCAUGGUGUGGCAGUGAAAUGCGUAGAGAUCAUGAGGAAGACCAGUGGCGAAGGCGGGUCUCUGGACAGUUCCUGACACUGAGGCACGAAGGCCAGGGGAGCAAACGGG